rnacentral:rRNA from 1 species
ACGUACGAUCACGGAAACUCGUUCGAUCUUCUCUAUUUAAGCAGUUUACCGGUGAGUUAGUAGUCAGGCGGGUGACCACUGGCGAAUCCUCGCUGUCGUAUGUU